AGACCGGUUGAUCCUGCCGGAGGGAACCCCUAUCGGGCUCGGACUAAGUCAUGCAAGUCUACCGAAGGCCCCUGCCUUCGGUGGCGAACGGCUCCGUAAUACGCGGUCAACCUACCCUGGGGAGGGGGAUAACCUCUGGAAACUGAGGCUAAUCCCCCAUAGGGGCGAAGUGCUGAGAUGCCUUCGCCCCGAAAGUAGGCGGAGGGGUUAUGGCUCCGCCCAGGCCCCAGGAUGGGACCGCGGCCCAUCAGGUAGUAGGUGGGGUAACGGCCCACCUAGCCGAAGACGGGUACGGGCGGUGAGAGCCGGAGCCCGGAGAUGGCCACUGAGACAAGGGGCCAGGCCCUACGGGGCGCAGCAGACGCGAAAACUCCGCAAUGCGGGAAACCGCGACGGGGCGAGCCCGAGUGCCUCCCUAAAAGGGAGGCUGUCCCCGAGCCUAAACAGCUCGGGAUAGGAAGGGGAGGGUAAGGCUGGUGCCAGCCGCCGCGGUAAAACCAGCUCCCCGAGGGGUUCCCACGCAUACUGGGCCUAAAGCGUCCGUAGCCGGCCCCGUAAGUCCUCGGUUAAAUCC
rnacentral:rRNA from 1 species